UUGCAACCAGUCACUGCACUCUCUCUCUCUGUAUCCCCGAUCUUUCUUCUUUCUUGUUUUUGCUUUUGUUGUUUAUGAAUGAUCCUAAUCCCAAGUAUACUUCUCCUAAUCCUGCUCAAGAUGUAUCACCAAAUUCAAAUUUGGUAAAUAAGAGGGACUUUUUGUGCUCCAAUGGUUUAAUCAAAACGAUAUCAAAUUGAGAAAAUAGCAAAGGUUUCACCAAACUGAAGAUCUGGGUACCUUUCACCAAUUUACUGUGCAAGACUAUUGUGAGUUGACACACCGGACGACCGGUUGGACAUACGGCCAGUUGUCCCCCCGGUCAUCCAGUUACUUCAAUAAUUCCCACAAAAAUGAUACUAGAUCUGAAGAAUGGAGAUGAAGAUGAAGAAGAACAAAGGAAGACGAUCUAAUCCCUCUCUCACUCAACACAACCCAAUCAUUCAUAUCUGCUCUUUUCCACUUCUCUCUCUUCCAUCAUAUCCCUCUCUCACACAAGAUGUUGAGAUUCAUGUAGAUAAAAGAUUCGAUGCUCAUCCUCCAAUCUCUCAUUACUUGAUCGAUCUAAUCCUUUCUUGUAGUUUACGAUCCAUUCAGUGUGUUUCGUCCCUCAUAGAUCCUAAACUUUUCAUUUCUCGAAAAUUCGUCUUCCGAAGGUUUAAAAUUUGUCUAAUUCAAUUAGAUUUUGAUUGCUAGAUCGCUGUUAUUAUUAUUAUUUUUUGUGAUUGGUGUAUGCAAUUUAGAUAUUUUGGAGUUGAAUUAUUUGACUAUUAUGGAGGAUGGCGGCUACUAGGUCAUUCUCAUAACCACAUCAGCUUCUCUCUUUCUCUCUCAUUUCACCUCCUCCUCUGUUCAAGAUUUGUAUUGGGUUUUUUUUUUUCAAAUUGCCUUGCCGGUCGACCGGCAGGUCGUUCCCCCAGUCGACCGAAAUUUUGCUGAUAGUCAAAAAUAUACCGUUAGAACGCUGGAUAUCAAAUAGAGAAAUUCUUUAAAUUUUUACUCA